rnacentral:lncRNA from 1 species
GUGUUAGUCUGCCUUGCAUUUCUUAAAAUCCCAGGGAUGGUCAGUUUAAAAAGAGAACAGUUUUACUUUGGCUCACGGUGGCUUGGCUCGUUGCGUCGCCUAGGACUGUGGUGAGGUAGGUAUCCCGGUGAUAGCAGGUGACCCAGGAAGCACCGGUGCAUAACGGAGGGGGAAGGGGAAGGGCAGGGCCCCACAGCCCCGCAAGCGCAAGCGCAUCUUCCGAGUCCUAACCGCCUCUCACAGUGCCGCAGGCCUGGGCCUGGGGACCCUCAGCUCCACAUGGCAGCGCUGCGAGAGGAGCUCAGACAGCACAGCUUCUGGAGGCAGGUCCUGCCCGCCUCGCUGAGAUCACCCAGUGUCUCUGCUACUUGGUGGCCCUGUGACCUUGGUACAAUGACCUACUUACCUGCUCCCAGGCAAUGCUAACCCUGUCUAAAGUGAUGCCCAGGAUUCAGGCAGCCAUGACAAGGUCCCCAGGCCGUGUUGUCUAUUAAGGAUGUGGUUUUGGCACACAGAAAAGACAGCGAGGACACUCACUCAACCAUUCAUUCAUGAAAUACUCAUCCUCAUAUCAGUGUAUGUGAGAGCCUAGGCCCAUGACUAAGGACAAUACAAUCUUCCUUGCUGGGCCGAAAUCUGGCUGGAAACACAUCCGCUGUUCUGGAGGAGAACAUAACAAACAACCAUCAUGGCGUCAUUGAAGAUGCACAGGGGCA